UUGAAAACUAGGAUAGUGCAGUUAUUGGGCCCCAAAAAAGGGCGCAACAGACUUGGUCGAAGAAGUGUUCGUUAUUGUCGUCACCCCAAUUAGAAGAAUUAUGAUGGUACGGAACAACAAAGUUAUGUAAUACUUUAAGGGCGUUGACAUUGGUGUCCGACAACUAAUAAGAAGACUCAUGUUGAGCAAUUGUAGCAACUCUGGCACCCAUAUCUAUAUCCCCGACCAAAUCCAAAAU
rnacentral:lncRNA from 1 species